UAGGGAAUCUUCGGCAAUGGGGGGAACCCUGACCGAGCAACGCCGCGGGAGUGAAGAAGGUUUUCGGAUCGGAAAGCUCUGUUGGUAAGGAAGAACGAGUGUGAGAAUGGAAAGUUCAUACUGUGACGGUACUUAACCAGAAAGGGACGGCUAACUACGUGCCAGCAGCCGCGGGAAUACGUAGGUCCCGAGCGUUGUCCGGAUUUAUUGGGCGUAAAGCGAGCGCAGGCGGUUAGAUAAGUCUGAAGUUAAAGGCAGUGGCUCAACCAUUGUAGGCUUUGGAAACUGUUUAACUUGAGUGCAGAAGGGGAGAGUGGAAUUCCAUGUGUAGCGGUGAAAUGCGUAGAUAUAUGGAGGAACACCGGUGGCGAAAGCGGCUCUCUGGUCUGUAACUGACGCUGCGGCUCGAAAGCGUGGGGAGCGAACAGG
rnacentral:rRNA from 1 species